rnacentral:rRNA from 1 species
AUUGAACGCUAGCGGGAUGCCUUACACAUGCAAGUCGAACGGAGUGGCGAACGGGUGAGUAAUGUAUCGGAACGUGCCCAGUAGCGGGGGAUAACUACGCGAAAGCGUAGCUAAUACCGCAUACUAUUGGAGCGGCCGAUAUCGGAUUAGCUAGUUGGUGGGGUAACGGCUCACCAAGGCGACGAUCCGUAGCUGGUUUGAGAGGACGACCAGCCACACGGGGAGUGAGACAGGGCCCAGACUCCUACGUGAGGCAGCAGUGGGGAAUGUUGGACAAUGGGGGAAACCCGGUUCUAGCCAGCGCGCGUGUGCGAUGAAGGGGUUCGGGUUGUAAAGCACUUUUGGCAGGAAAGCGGUACCUGCAGAAUAAGCACCGGCUAACUACGUGCCAGCAGCCGCGGGAAUUU